UACGUAGGGUGCGAGCGUUGUCCGGAUUUAUUGGGCGUAAAGGGCUCGUAGGCGGCGUGUCGCGUCGGGAGUGAAAGCCCGUUGCUUAACGGCGGGUUGGCUUUCGGUACGGGCAUGCUGGAGUGCGGCAGGGGAGACUGGAAUUCCUGGUGUAGCGGUGGAAUGCGCAGAUAUCAGGAGGAACACCGGUGGCGAAGGCGGGUCUCUGGGCAGUAACUGACGUGAGGAGCGAAAAGCAUGGGGAGCGAACAGG
rnacentral:rRNA from 1 species